rnacentral:rRNA from 1 species
AGCUAGUUGUAUUAUUAGUUAAUGCAAGAUCGACUACGUCGACUAAAGUUCUAGGUAGAAUAAUGAUGAUGACAAUUUUUUACCUAUAUGUCUUGACCAAGUCUCGUGCCAGCAGUCGCGGUAAUACGUGGAAGACUAGUGUUAUUCAUCUUUAUUAGGUUUAAAGGGUACCUAGACGGUAUUUCUAGCCCAAAAUAGGGUACGGAUUUACUAGAGUUUUAUGUGAGGAGGGGAGUACUCGUGGAGUAGAGAUGAAAUUUUGUUAUACUAUGAGGUAACUGGUGGCGGCGAAAGCAACCUUCUAUGUAUAAACUGACGUUGAGGGACGAAGGCUUGGGUAGCAAAUAGGAUUAGAUACCCUAGUAGUCCAAGCAGACAAUUCUGAAUGCCAUAGAUUAGAUUUUUUUUGAUCUAUAAAUGAAAGUGUAAGCAUUCCACCUUAGGAGUAAUGUGGCAACACAGGAACUGAAAUCAUUAGACCGUUUCUGAAACCAGUAGUGAAGUAUGUUAUUUAAUUUGAUGGUCCACAAAAAACCUUACCACAACUUGAAUAUUUUUUAAUUAAUACAAGCGUUGCACGGCUGUCUUCAGUUAAUGUCGUGAGAUUUUGGUUAACUCCAUUAAUUAACGUAAACCCUUACUUUAUUUAUUUUUUUUU